UCCGUAGGGUGCAAGCGUUGUCCGGAAUUAUUGGGCGUAAAGAGCUCGUAGGCGGUCUGUCGCGUCGGAUGUGAAAACCCAGGGCUCAACCCUGGGCCUGCAUUCGAUACGGGCAGACUAGAGUUCGGUAGGGGAGACUGGAAUUCCUGGUGUAGCGGUGAAAUGCGCAGAUAUCAGGAGGAACACCGGUGGCGAAGGCGGGUCUCUGGGCCGAAACUGACGCUGAGGAGCGAAAGCGUGGGGAGCAAACAGG
rnacentral:rRNA from 1 species